UUGAAAGGGAAACGAUUGAAGUCAGUCGUACCUGCGGGUAAUCAGCCUUUUGGGCAUGAUUCUGUGGAGCGUGAGGAGUUAAACGCCUUCAUGCCUGCAUAUUCGUGUACUUUGGGUGUACUUGCCUGUGUGGUUAGUUAACAUCAAUUUUGGUUAUCAUAAAAUGGUUGGAGGAAUGUAGCUUCNAUUUCNAUUGAAGUGUUAUAGCCUUCGGCAGAUGUGAUGAUCGGGAUUGAGGAUUGCAACGGAUACCCUUCGGGGCUACCUGUCUGAUCUCUGGUCGUUGCUCUGGUGCCGAAAGNGUGCUUACNGUUAUCAAAGUCGAUGGUCAAUAGGUUAGAAUGGGUUAAAUUCGUUAAGGAUGUUGACGUA
rnacentral:rRNA from 2 species